GCCUUACCUCCCAGUGUGAUGGUAUUUGGAGAAGAGGCUUUCUUCUUCAAUGAGGUCACAGGGGUGGGGCCUGUAUGAUGGGAUUAGUGUCCGUGUAAAGAGAGGUAGAGACACCAGAGCCCAGAACUCUCUCUCUCUCUGCCUUGUGAGGACACAGCAAGGAGGCAGCUGUCUGCAAGCCAGGAGAAGAGACUUCAUGAGAACCCACCCAUAGUGACACCCUGAUCUUAGACUUUCAACCUUCACAACUGUGGGAAAAUAAAUGUCUGCUGGCUAUCCUCACAGACUACCCUCUUCCCCAAAUCUCUUUGGACUUCUCUAUAACCCAUCAACUAAAAGAUUCACAUCUGGAUCACUGGAAGCCUCCAAAGACCCAACUCAAAUACAAGAGGCAGGAUCUACAGACAUACCUUGGAAAUAUUGCAGGUGUUAUUCCAGGCCACUGCAAUGAAGUGGGUAGCCCGAUAAACUGCGCAUCCAGGAGUGAUAUUGAAGAUGUUUAACAACCAGUAUGACACUUGCCAAACCAAUCAGAAUAGACGUGGGCCCCUGACCAAUCAGAACAGACAUGGACCUCCGACCAAUCAGAACAGACAGGGGCUUCCGACCAAUCAGAAAAAAACAUGGACCUUUGACCAAUCAGAAUAGACAUGGGUGUCUGGCCAAUGGAGCAGACACGGGCCUCCAACCAAUUAGAACAGACAGGGGGGUCUGGCCAAUCAGAACAGACAUGAACCUCCGACCAAUCAGAACAGACAGGGCCUUCCGACCAAUCAGAAUGGGAGAAGGUGGAGAAGGGUCUUGAAGACCCCCUGCAGGGGCAGUUGCUAUCUCAUAACAGGAAUUCCAGGAGAGCCUAGGGAAGCUGAGGAGGGAAUAGGGGGUGCGAAGGGGGAUGGACUAGUGGCUUUCUUACCAACACAUAGGGAAGUAGUUCAGCAUUUAAACAAUGCAUACAUCAUAUCCAAACAUAUUAGCUCAAUGUCAGUAAUGUGCCCAUCACUCUCUUUCCCACCUGCCCCCCAUCCAGCUCGCCCUUGCCUUGUCCAUGUGGACCAGGAAGGAAUUAAUGAAGUCCUGCGGGGCCCUGGGGUCCAGCCUCUUGAUGUUCUCAGGGACAAAAUCUUCCAUUUCUUGAAUUUUGUUGUACACUCGAGUGUGGGUACCAGGAAAGUGUUUCAGGAUGCCGGAAAGGAGUUCAAACAUCUCCAGGGAAGAAGCAAGGAGUUCCCAGAAUCUGUUCUCUCUGGGCUGGUGCUACAAGGGUUGAGGCUGUACCUGCACAGCACAGCAAUAUCUGACAGGCUUAAUUCAUCCCGUAGCCUUCGGGAAUGUGCCUCCCAGUUGAGCACUCAUACAAAUACUCUCAGUGGCACGUGAACAAGUGCGUUGUUACCUCUGCUGGGAUUUCUCUCACAGGCCACCCUCUCCUGAGGCCUGAUUCCUACCUCCAGUUGGACUCAUUGCCUCACUUAGAAGGGUGUAGAGGGUAAGUGUGUGCACAGAAAACCGAUCUCGAUGCCUUCUUGCCUCAGUGUUAGGAGAAAAAACAUCUGAUCCCUUCCCAAGUUCCACCCAUCCCAAUUCCUGGCCCACCAUGGAAACUUUGGCCUCACCUGGUUGUAGAAAGAGCUGGCAAAAGUGGAGAGAUCAUUCAUUCAAUGUAGCAGCCUUAAGAUUCUGGGGUCCUGGUACUUAAAGUACUGGCCAAAGAUGAUGGUACAGAUGAUGUUGGCCCUGGUGGAGUGAAAGAGGAAAGUGGGAUCCAGAUAGGUCACAGGGUGAUGGGGGUGGGCGGUGGGUGGAGGACUGCAUUGUCCUUCUGGAAGGCUCUGACCUGGCUGGUGCCUUCUUAGCUUGGUUGGUUUCUUUCUCUUUCUCUUGGCCAGCCUGGCUUUCACUAUGUCUCUUAUCACACCUCUUUCUGGGCAUUUUGCACUUUGUGUCUCAUGGUUUUCUUGGGCUCUGUCUUGGUGUGACCUUCCUGGUGCACCUGUGUCUUUGUCUGGUCUUGUGUUUGAGUCUUUGUUUGAGAAUCAGCCCCUUCUACUCUGUUCUCUCUCUUUCUGUGUCCCGUCUGUCUUUGUGGCCCUGUCCUUGGCCUCACUGUCAGUCUUUGUUUCCCCUGACUCUAUUUCUCUCCUUACCUUUUUCUUUCUAAGUCUUUUCCUUAUAGUUUCUACUUCUGGAUUGAUCUUUGUUGGUAUCCUGGGUUUUUCCUCUGUCUUGCUUUCUCUGUCUGCUUUCUCCACCUCUCUGUCUCCUUCCCUGUUUUCCUCAUUAUUUUUCUCUUUUUCUGUCUCCUUCUCCCUUUCCCUGAACUUGUCUCUGCAUCUCUCUGUCUCUGGAUCUCUCUGUCCCACCCUCUGCCUGCCCCUCCAACUCCUGAGAAGUCCCCAGGGCUCACCCUGGGAUUUCCUCAGUUCCUCCACCAGACACUGAGCCUCAUCCUGGUUUCGUUUCUCAAUGUUCCGCUUCCCCAUCCCAAAGUCCCUCAUGGUGACCUGAGAGGUUUGUUGAAGGGCCUUCUAACACUUUCCAUUAGCGAAGAUCAUACCUGAUUGGUGGGAUAUAGAUGGAAGAUUGGGAGGACACAUGGGAUGUCCCCACCUCUUUUCCCCAAACCCACCCCUAUGCCCCACUCACCUCUUUCCCUGAGGAUGGGAUCAAUGAUGGCGAUGUGCCCUCAGCCAGGGAAAGCCUCAGCCUGACCCACCAGGGCCUCCCUCACUGCCUUGUACCCACACAGGUUGAUGACUGGCCCAGGUAGAUGGUGAGGGCAUCCAGUACUUCACCCGCAGCUGUGGGGGCAGGGUGCAGAUCUCACUCUCACUCCAGAGAAGAGUAAGGAAAGAGUAUCCACCCUCACACGUGGAUCACAUGUGCCAGCCUAACCAAACCACCACUACUCCCUCCCCACUGCAUCCUUAUCAGGGAAGCAUGAACACUUGAACGCUGUGGCCUCCUCCAAGCCCUUGCCCCAAAUGUCAUGUGCCCUUGCCCCAAAUGCCCUCCUCUUUCAGCUUUUACAAGAACU